CUCCCCAACAAUGGGCAGCUGUGAAUGGGAAGUCCAAGAAUCUAGUAGUUGCUCAGUCCCACAAGGCUAGUUGUUUCAGUUAGUCUUCUGUAGAGGUAGGUUCUAACAAAUGUGCUGGCAAGUAAGUGCAAGCAGGCAAAGAAGAGUGAAUCUGCCUUCUUCCAAUGCCCAAUGUUCAAUGUAGGCCUCCAGAAGAAGACAUAGCCCAGAUUAAAGUGUUUGUUCAUUGAAGCUAUGAAGAGGACCACAAAAGGACAGGGAAAUAUGCAUAUUGACUGCAGUCCACCCAGUGACCUGAAGAUUAGCAUGUAUGAGCAGUGGUCACUCUGGACUGGACUCUAACGAAGCAUUGUUCCUGGGUGAAACAAUGGAAAUAAAGGAGAAGCCAUCAGCAGAAAAGCACAGGUCAACCUAAUAUGCUGGCCAAUAUACUGCAGUUCCCAGAUGUUUUGAUUGAGAAGCACUCAAAUCACUACUACUUUGCCAAAUAAUAAAACAGCCUCUGAUUUUGGAAAGAUUCAUCCUGCACAUGUUAGAUUUCCUUCUCUGUGGUCUACUAGCAAGACCAACAUUCUAUAUGAAAUAAGACAUGAUCAUGCCUCAAUCAACUCCACAGCAAACAGUGAGCUGUAUGUACUAAAUGUUAUUAGAACUCAAUAACCAUGGAAACAUUUGAGAUCACUUUUGCCUGACUCCAGAAGCUAAAUGCUGACAACCUCCU
ensembl:lncRNA LOC102546314 uncharacterized LOC102546314